rnacentral:snoRNA from 1 species
UUCUUUGAUGAAUGUUCUUUUUCUGAAGAGUCGAGUGCCGGUUCGCAAGAACUGGCAUUCAUUUCUUGUAGAAAGAAUAAGAACGGCCAACUGAUGAA